rnacentral:rRNA from 1 species
UGGGGAAUAUUGCACAAUGGGCGAAAGCCUGAUGCAGUGACGCCGCGUGAGGGAUGACGGCCUUCGGGUUGUAAACCUCUUUCAGUAGGGACGAAGCGCAAGUGACGGUACCUGCAGAAGAAGCACCGGCUAACUACGUGCCAGCAGCCGCGGUAAUACGUAGGGUGCGAGCGUUGUCCGGAAUUACUGGGCGUAAAGAGCUCGUAGGCGGUUUGUCACGUCGUCUGUGAAAUCCUAGGGCUUAACCCUGGACGUGCAGGCGAUACGGGCUGACUUGAGUACUACAGGGGAGACUGGAAUUUCUGGUGUAGCGGUGGAAUGCACAGAUAUCAGGAAGAACACCGAUGGCGAAGGCAGGUCUCUGGGUAGUAACUGACGCUGAGGAGCGAAAGCAUGGGUAGCGAACAGG